rnacentral:rRNA from 1 species
UUGGACCUGAUAUCAGACAAGACUACCCGCUGAACUUAGCAU